AUGUUCCACAUGGAGAACUCUCUGAUACUGGUUCUCAUUCUAGCCUCAGGACAGAUUGCUGGGGAUCACAUUAAUCCUGUAAAUAAUGAAGUGAUCAGUACAGAGGGAGAACUUGUGACUCUGAGCUGUUCAUAUGACACAAGCGGUGAAUAUCCUCUGCUUUACUGGUACCGACAUUAUUCUAACCAGGCUCCUCAGUUUCUGCUGUAUAAAGGUGCCAGAUCAUGGAGCUCUGAAGAACAUAUCCCUGAUAAGAGAUAUACAUCCACAACAUCCCGGACAUCAACUGAACUGGUGAUAACAAGCCUAACCCUGGCAGACACAGCUCUCUACUACUGUGCUCUUGACACAGUGAUACAAAGUGUAUAAUACACUGUACAAAAACCUGCAGACCAAAAUGCUUUGAUGAAGUGUAAAUCAUAAUUAACCAUCAACCACAUUUGAUGUCAUAAUGGCAGAAGUUGAGAUCAGAGAAAUGUGGUCACACCUGUGCUGUGUUCAAUCACCAGGCGGUCUAGUUUGUCUCUGUCUUCAUAUUCAAUGCACUGUGAGAAAUAUGUAUUCUUCACUCUUCAAUCAGUAGUCUUCAAUUUCACUUACCGUAGGCAGUUUUUUUUAUAUAUUGGUUGGAUAAUCACUUUGGAAUAUUGUUAUUUAUUGAUGGCCUUAUUCACAAUUCACACAGCUUGGUGGUGUAGUAGGAAAGUCAACCUGCAGGGUGCAACCUAACAAAGCACACACACUCCUGAAUCAGAGGAUGUCAUACAGACAGACACCUCCCCAUGGUCUACUACUUCAUGUAAUACAGAACAUGAAGCAUCAACAGUAGGACAGAGUGUGUCAAAGCUCUGUGAUAGAGAGAUCAGCAUUGUUCUGCUCCUUACCUUUUCCACUUCAUACUGACUGACUAGUCAUGAGAAAUUGGCUGAUCCUGCAUAUUCUGGCUGCAUGCUGUUUUGGAAUAACAUCACUCUGUUCAUCUGUCUCUUUCUGCACAUUUGUUAAUUUAAUUUGAAGUGAUGUAAUUUGUAAUGAUGUAAUGGUCGUAGAAGGACAACCAACAACACUCACUUAUCUGUUUGAUACAACUUCUCAAUCACCAUAUCUCUUCUGGUACAAACAACUAGCAAAUAUCAACUGCAUGUUUAUGCUGAGAAGAAAUGUUCACAUGCAGACAGUACUACUGAGUUCAAGGAGAGAUUUGAUGCCCAUCUGAAUGUCACAGCAAAAUCAUUCCCCUUGAAGAUCCAGAGGUUACAGCUGUCUGACUCUGCUGUGUAUGACUGUGCUCUGAGGCCCACUGUGACAACAGGAUAUACUGCCCCUUUACAAAAACGUGUGUUUGUGUGUGUGUAAAGUAUUUUGUGUUGUGUGAUGUUUUUUAAGGGGAGGUGUUACAUAAUUGAGGCGGAGGAAGAGAAAUGCAUGUUAGACUGUAGCUGGCAGUGAGAAACCAGGGGAGUCAUUUUGUCAUAAUUAUACUUGUGUUCACUCUUUUCACUGUGUCAAGUAACACUUACCAGCAUGUUACUAGGAUACAUUUUAAUAUAUGCACUAGUGGGUGAGUAUGAUACUAUUCUUCAUAUCUAAUUACAUAUCCAAUGUAAUUACUGGAGCCUGGAGUAAUAUUACUGUGAAGGAUCUUUACAUUUUUAAGACACUUCAUUGAAUUAAGAGUUGAAUUUUAUGAUCAUUUCCAAAUAAAAAAUAUUGUUUUCAUAAAUGUUUUACAGGUGGCUGUCAAGGGAAGGACAUUACUCCAACAACAGAUAAGGUGUUUGGGUUGGAGGGUGAUAUCAUAAAUCUGUCCUGUAACUACUCCUCUGCUAGUACUCUCCAGUGGUAUCAACAGUACCCUGGAUCAUCUCCCAUCUUCCUUCUCCUCACUACAGUCUCCUCAAACCCCUCUGUAGUGAACGCUACUCCUCCAUACCCACAUCUGUCUAUUAAACUGAAUAAGGAGAGAACCCGUGUGGAUCUGGAGAUCUCCUCUGCUGUUGGAACAGACUCUGCUCUGUACUACUGCGCCCUGGAGCCCACAGUGACAGGAAAUCCUGAAACACUGUACAAAAAUCUGACAGCUCAUGAUAAACACGUCUUGUGCAUAUUUUAGUGCAGAGGUGGGGCAUCCUACUGUAUGUUCAAGAAAAUGUAUUAUCUUUUAUUAAAAAACUGUGUUGGGACUUCACUCCAGCAUAUAACCUCAGCAACAAUGGCUCUCUACGGAGUUAUUUUACUUUCUGCUCUGACAGGUUAGUAAAUUA
rnacentral:lncRNA from 13 species